GGGUGUAUAGCCCAGUGGUAGAGCGUUCAGCUGCAAAUCGAGAGGUCUCCGCCCAAACUCCGGGUGCGCUCU